rnacentral:misc_RNA from 1 species
UUCGAUAUAAAUUUGAAUAGGUUAUUCCUAAUGGUGCAGUCAAAAACGUUUUGCUUUAUUUGAUCGAUUGAUGAUGUGUAAUUGAUGAUGUACUUCCAAAUAGGCUUGAGCGAAGCAAUACGGAUAUACAUAAUAUAAAAGUCUGAAGGAAAAUGGGAAUCUGCAAAGUGAUUUUCUCAGUUCUUAGAGGAGUAGUUAAGAGACUCAGACCCGAGUAAUGCACCAAUAUGUCCUCCACCCUCGCCGUUAUGCUUAACAGUGAAUUACGUAAACAUCGAUAACAGGGAGAUUUGUACCAAAUUAGGGAUAGGACCUUUAACUCUGGUAAAAUUUCCCUGUUUUGGUAUUAAUGAAGAUGGGCAAAUUUUAGUUAUUCCUAACAUGUAUUUGAGAAAAAAAUAAAACCAUUUAAGACUUUA